CCCCACCGCACCAAAAAGAAAAGUCCUUACAAAUAAACUGCAGGUAGGCUUCUAAGCUUAAUGAUGCAGUGUGCUGCUAACAUCUUGAUGCUGAAUUUCACAGCAUUCUUUGAUCGUCUUAUUGUUGAUGUAUUCAUCAUGAGUAUAUGUAGUGUUUAACACUGUAGAAUUCUAUUACAGAAGAUGCUAACUAGAUUUUAAGUGUGCUGAGGAAAUAACUGAUGAGCCUAAGUAAUCAUGCAUUGAAUUAAAUGUUUUAUAUUUGAGCCACAAAAUUGAAAAAAGAUGCCUCCUUUGAUUUAAAUUGUUAUUUUAUAGCUCUUAGCCCAUUACUACCAAAGAUGACAUUUGCAGAUUUUUCCUCCCUCUUCUAAUAUUAUA
rnacentral:lncRNA from 1 species